CGGAACUCCUGAAAGUAAGCUCCACUGGCCUCCAAGGCCAGACGUCCUGAAGGCUCAUCUUCCUGGUGCAGAUCCCUUGCUCCCUGGGGACAAGCUCUGCAACUGUAGCGAUUCUCCCAUUUGUGAAUCACCCACCUGGGGGUAUACUGCGACUCUGCCUCUCCUACCCAUCUCACUGUGGCUCCUUCGUUACAUCUUUAGUUGCAGAAGAUCUUUUCUGGUGUAAAACCCCUCACUCUGUGUGCACUCACCUGUUGCCAUGGCGACGAAUACCACCCAGCUGCCAUACUGUACACUGGACGGGCUGGACACGCCCCUCGGUUGCAGGUUUCUUCCAAGUCCAGAGGCAUCGACAGUGGCUUCAACCAUCUCCUAUCAACAAUAAAGGCACACAAGUACAGAUGCAACCAGAAAGACAUUUCCAGAUGACUUACUAGGCAGGGCAGGAGAAGGCAUUGCACAUUUUGGGUUCAGUUGCUGGCUUGGCUCUCGCAUUGCAGAAUGAGGAAUUGACUUGAGUGUUUUGAUCCCGUAAGCAAAUGGCCUUGACACUUAUGUAACCUAAUAAGACAUGAGAAGUUACAAAGUGAAAACUGCAGGUAACCAAUUCCGCUUAAGUUUCCAAGUGUAGCUUCGGGUUUACCAGGGUUCUGAUAAUUUACUGAAGAUACAGAACCUAAAUAUUGUACGAAAACACUUCCUUCUGAUAAAAUCUACAACUCAUGUGAAUUCCACCCUCAUGCCACGCCCCCCCAACAGUUUUCAUAUUUUAAUACUUUUUAACAAGUAGCGUCUUAGUUUUCAGGACUGCCAUGGAUUCUAGAACGAUAUGGUAAAGACAGAGCAAUAUUUUGAAAUUGAAAACAAUUUUGAAAACGGGGCAAUAUCUGUUUGAGGGAAGUAUCCCAGAAGCUUUAACUCACACUGCACAUAUCUAAUGGAAAAUGUUCUGCAAAGAAAAAUCUUGGGGGAAUUCUGUGUGGAAACUCUAAGAGUUUGCUUUUUCAUGAAGCAUCUUCUACACUUGCCUGAGUAUGUGCGCAUAUAAACAAAAAGUUGAACUCACUGAAUAUGUGUUCAUACUUGUCCGCAAGGACUCUGGUUUUUUGUUUCUGUCUGUUCACCCCACUGCCUUGUUUUCGAUAUUCAUUUCAGGACCUCUCAUCAAGAUACACUUUAUUUUGUGUGUGAUUAACUGUAUUUGUCAGCUCCCCACAUAGGAAUGCUGCCCCCUCUUUCAACUGUCUUUAUUCACAUGGACUUUUCCUUAAAAUGGAAUCUGAGCAACAGUGAAGAGUCACUCCCGCUAGAAUGAUUAGGUUGAAGGGGGUCUGCUUUCAGGAGGAACUGAUCAAAAUAUUGGGACUCCCUAAAGUCAAGAGUUUGCUUCUGGAGAACGUAUUCAUUUGGACUUGUCUUCUCUUAGACUUCCGACAUGCUAUGGUCUGUGAGUCACACGAAGGUGUUGCUAACUCAAGGCAAAGGAGAAUCCCAUAAUGCACUUGUCCAGCAUCCUCCCCUUGGUUGUAUUUAGUCCCUGUAAAUGGAAAAUGGAUUGACUCUCUCUCUUUCCCAAGGAACCUGUGCUCUCUCUGGAAUACCAGGAAGUUAUCGCGAAUGAUCUCAAAGAGCAUUUGAUACAUGAACAACUGCUCAUGCUCGAAGACUACGUGAAAAACAGCAUAAAGAUUAUGGUUUCUGUUCUGUUAAAAAAAGAAAAAAAAGAACAUAAAAUGAUACAUGUGUGGCGUGUGUCUGAGUAUGUGAAACACGUGUUUUUAUGUUUGCUUAAGAAAAAGAAUACGAUAUAGACCAAAGUAUUAACACUGGCUAUUGCUGAUUAAAAGAUUAUGGGAGAUUAUUUUCUUCUUUAUAGCAUAUUGCUUUUAAAAUGUGUAUUAAUAAAAAAUAUAUUCCCUUUUAAUUAUUUCAUAUAUAUUUUUAAAAAGAAGUAUUUCUUCAUAUUUUGUUAACUAGCAUGGGCAGCUGAAGACAGAAUUUCUUCACUUUCUGUAUUUCAGCUCUGUUUCUGGUCCCAAGAUGCCCCAUUUUGCUCAGUGGGAUGGACACAGUAGGGAGACCCACUGUCACCAGGUGCUCUGAGCAUGAGGAAGUGAGGGACCAACCUUCAUGCUUUGGUUUCAUGGACUCAUUUAUGGACUCAUUCUUCUUCCCAAAGGGCAAGUGUGACAAAGACUGACUUACCAACCAAUAUGUGAUAUUUUGGGACCUAAAUAAAAUGCCUCCCGUCUACGCACUCAGAGGAUGGCUGUGGUUUUUCCCUUCCUUACAAGGGUUAUUUCUCGGAUUUAAUCCAUUUCCCUGCGGGGCUGGAAUGCCACUGCUUCCACGUGUCAGAUCGCUGUCUUAAGUCUGCCUUGCGUGUGUUUUCACUGUCUUGCCCCUACCUUCUCUAAGUCCCACUGGGAGGCUGACAACAACAGAAAAGUCAGGACAGAAAGACAGGAAGCUGUGAGCUGAAAAAUCCAUCAAUGACUCAAUCCUUAUAAGAAAUGGACACAUAUUUUCUAUUUCCCCCCCUUGUAAGUUUCAGAUGCGUAACUCUUGAGUCCUGUUUGUGGCUGACUUGAGAUUUGUGUGAGUGGGUUCCUUUCUACCUAGGAAA